CCUCCUGCCCCUGCCAUGGGCUCCAGGCUCCUCUGCUGGCUGGGUCUCUGCCUCCUGGGUGCAGGCCCCUUGGACACUGCUGUUUUUCAGACUCCCAAAUACCUUGUCACACAGGUGGGAAGAAAUGGGACCCUGAAAUGUGAACAAACUCUGGGCCAUAAUGCUAUGUACUGGUAUAAGCAGGACUCCGAGAAACUUCUGAAGAUAAUGUUUGUCUACAGUAAUAAGGAACGCAUUGUAAAUGAGACAGUUCCCAGUCGCUUCUUUCCUGAGUCUUCAGACAAAGCUCGUUUAAAACUUAAAAUCACGUCUCUGGAACCAGGCGACUCUGCUGUGUACUUCUGCGCCAGCAGCCAAGACACAGCCCUGCAGAGUCACUGCCUCCCUGUGCACAAACCUGCAGACUCAGCCAGGAAGCUGCGGGGACCCUGUGUGCACCUGCUCCCUGGGGCUCCCUUCUCCCUGCCAUGCGGGAAGCCUGACAGAGCUCCAGUCGGUGUGGUAUGGUCUGUCAGUGUCCCCAGGGAGCAGGUCUGCAUUUCACUUACUCACCUGUCUGACAGAAUUUCAUUUCUUGGCUAG